rnacentral:rRNA from 1 species
GAUGAACGCUGACAGAAUGCUUAACACAUGCAAGUCAACUUGAACUUCGGUUUGGGUGGCGGACGGGUGAGUAACGCGUAAAGAACUUGCCUCACAGCUAGGGACAACAUUUGGAAACGAAUGCUAAUACCUGAUAUUAUGAUUAUAUGGCAUCGUAUAAUUAUGAAAGCUUUAUGCGCUGUGAGAGAGCUUUGCGUCCCAUUAGCUAGUUGGAGAGGUGACAGCUCACCAAGGCGAUGAUGGGUAGCCGGCCUGAGAGGGUGAUCGGCCACAAGGGGACUGAGACACGGCCCUUACUCCUACGGGAGGCAGCAGUGGGGAAUAUUGGACAAUGGACCGAGAGUCUGAUCCAGCAAUUCUGUGUGCACGAUGAAGUUUUUCGGAAUGUAAAGUGCUUUCAGUUGGGAAGAAAAAAAUGACGGUACCAACAGAAGAAGUGACGGCUAAAUACGUG